CCUACGGUGUGCAGCAGUGAGGAAUAUUGGUCAAUGGGCACGAGCCUGAACCAGCCAAGUCGCGUGAGGGAAGACGGUCCUAUGGAUUGUAAACCUCUUUUGUCGGGGAGCAAAAGACGCCACGCGUGGCGUUCCGAGAGUACCCGAAGAAAAAGCAUCGGCUAACUCCGGACCAGCCGCCGCGGUUAAACGGAGGAUGCGAGCGUUAUCCGGAUUUAUUGGGUUUAAAGGGUGCGCAGGCGGAAGAUCAAGUCAGCGGUAAAAUUGAGAGGCUCAACCUCUUCGAGCCGUUGAAACUGGUGUUCUUGAGUGAGCGAGAAGUAUGCGGAAUGCGGGGUGUAGCGGUGAAAUGCAUAGAUAUCACGCAGAACUCCGAUUGCGAAGGCAGCAUACCGGCGCUCAACUGACGCUCAUGCACGAAAGUGUGGGUAUCGAACAGGAUUAGAUACCCGAGUAGUC
rnacentral:rRNA from 1 species